rnacentral:rRNA from 1 species
ACACCGGCGGCCCGAGUGGUGAUCGUGAUUAUUGGGUCUAAAGGGUCCGUAGCCGGUUUGGUCAGUCCUCCGGGAAAUCUGAUAGCUCAACUAUUAGGCUUUCGGGGGAUACUGCCAGACUUGGAACCGGGAGAGGUAAGAGGUACUACAGGGGUAGGAGUGAAAUCUUGUAAUCCCUGUGGGACCACCUGUGGCGAAGGCGUCUUACCAGAACGGGUUCGACGGUGAGGGACGAAAGCUGGGGGCACGAACCGGAUUAGAUACCCGGGUAGUCCCAGCCGUAAACGAUGCUCGCUAGGUGUCAGGCAUGGCGCGACCGUGUCUGGUGCCGCAGGGAAGCCGUGAAGCGAGCCACCUGGGAAGUACGGCCGCAAGGCUGAAACUCAAAUGAAUUGACGGGG